rnacentral:lncRNA from 1 species
GGUGGACUGGCUGAUUUGGGAGCUGCUCAAAGAGUCUCUGAUGGUCUCCUGGGAGGUCCAGACAGUUGACUCGACGCUUUUGAUACUGGCCUCGGGACUGUGAGUAAUUGAGAGGGGGACGUCGACUCUGGCCCGGACUGGUGACGUGGAGCUUUGAAGACUUAACUUGGGACCCUGGACACUUGGUUGGCUGUGUGGAACCGAUCUCUUCAUGGGAGGAGGACCGCAAGUUCGUCCUGCGAGCCUGGUGUCUUGUCUUCAUCAUCCUGGCAACCGCGAUGCUGCUCAGCGUGCUGGACGGGCGUAUGGCCUACCUGCAGGCGCCUACACCGGCUCGUGGGCUUCUGGACCAACUGCAAGAAGCAUACAUGUGCCGACCUGCGCCAAGUCACGGUUCUCAUCCACAUGAGCAUGGGCUUCAUGAUCCUGGCCGUGAUCCUGGCUCUAGUUCUCCUCCUGGCCAUGGGCUUCUCCUUCCGGCCAGCACUCCGCCGUCUUAACAAGACUGACCUCGUCUUCAGUACCCUCAGCUCCUUCACUGGUAAGUGUCGCCCUGGGGAAAGGCUUCGGGGAGGCGUGUCCCAGAAUUGCUGUCCCGCUGGGUCUCUGAAUGUCUCUUGAGCUCUGCGUCCCCCCGCCCCUGCCCCUUGCUGUAGGCUUCUCAGUUCUAACUACUAUAUCCCUCACUCUCUUCCUGUUUCCCCACUCCUGGUAUCUUUCUGUCGUGAAUGUGUGUGUCCCCGCGCGCGGGCACACUAGUCAUGCAGGAUGGGAGAGGAUGUCUCUGGCUCGCUUCUCUUUCUGGAGGUCUCUGGGUCCCUGUCCAGCCUCGUGUCCAUCUCUGGCCCCAUCUCAGUGCAGGGCUCCUGAUUCUCCUCAGCCUGACGCUCUUUAUAGCCAACUGCGAGAUGCUCAAACCGAGGCCACAGGAAUCCUGAGCUACUUAAACUACAUGGGCAUGUGGGGCAAAGGGACGUCCUCCACGGAACGGCGGAUGAGCUACCGCCGGUGGGCCUCGCUGCAGAACACCCGGAAGUCCAUAUCCGAACAGCUGUCGUCGGACGCAGGCUCCAAGCACGCCGAAAACUGAGGUAUAGUUUACUUA